GCAAGUUCCACAGCACCAUGCAUUAUGAUGGGCAUGUCCGCUUCGACCUUCCCCCACAAGGCUCUGUCCUGGCCCGGAACGUGUCCACCCGGUCAUGCCCGCCGCGCACCAGCCCCGCAGUGGACUUGGAGGAGGAGGAGGAGGAGAGCUCUGUGGAUGGCAAAGGGGACCGGAAGAGCACAGGCCUGAAACUCUCCAAGAAGAAAGCAAGGAGGAGACACACGGAUGACCCAAGCAAGGAAUGCUUCACUCUGAAAUUUGACCUGAAUGUGGACAUUGAGACAGAGAUCGUCCCAGCCAUGAAGAAGAAGUCACUGGGGUAGGGCUUGAUGGGGCUCAGGGUGGAAGUGGGACUGGGAGUAGGGGUGGCCCCAUGUCGCAGGCUCCGGGUCUCUGCAGGUGUGACGUGUGUGUCUGUGUGGUGGCCCGUGAGCGAGCGCAUCCCUGCGUGGGCAGACCCGUGCUGGUGUGCACGCCAGUGUGAGGGAGUGCGGCGGGGUCUGUGUACUUGUGUGUUUUAAUCAUGUAUGCAAGAGCCAGGCCUGGGUGUGGGCAGGCGUGUGACAGGUCUGCCGUGGUAUGCAGAUGCGCCUGUGUGAGCACCUCUGCGGGCAGGUGUCUGUGGACCUGCGUGUGAUCCCAUGCGGGCUUCCCUUUUCCGUUGGGAAGGUGGGGGCAGCUGGGGCUGUGGGUGGGGCGGGGGCUCAUGGGGGCGGGGCCCAAGCUGAAGCGACUGGCCGCCUGGUUCUAACACACAUGCCUCCUGUCCUGGGGGCAGGGAGGUGCUGCUGCCUGUAUUUGAAAGGAAGGGCAUUGCGCUGGGCAAAGUGGACAUCUACCUGGACCAGUCCAACACACCCCUGUCCCUCACCUUCGAGGCCUACAGGUUCGGGGGACACUACCUUCGUGUCAAAGCCCCAGCCAAGCCUGGAGAUGAGGGCAAGGUGGAGCAGGGCGUGAAGGACUCCAAGUCCCUGAGUUUGCCGAUUCUGCGGCCAGCUGGGACCGGGCCCCCCGCCCUGGAGCGUGUGGACCCCCAGAGCCGCCGGGAGAGCCUGGACAUCUUGGCCCCUGGCCGCCGCCGCAAGAACAUGUCAGAGUUCCUGGGGGAGGCGAGCAUCCCCGGGCAGGAGCCCCCCACGCCCUCCAGCUGCUCUCUGCCCAGCGGCAGCAGUGGCAGCACCAAUAGCGGCGACAGCUGGAAGAACCGGGCGGCCAGUCGCUUCAGCGGCUUUUUCAGCUCCGGCCCCAGCACCAGCGCCUUUGGCCGGGUAUGUGGCCCCAUCUGCCCAGGGUCAGGCAGCUGGCUGGCCGUGACCCCUGACCCUGACCAGGGUAUCUUUCCAGGAGGUAGACAAGAUGGAGCAGCUGGAGGGCAAGCUGCACACCUACAGCCUCUUCGGGCUGCCCAGGCUGCCCCGGGGGCUGCGCUUCGACCAUGACUCCUGGGAGGAGGAGUACGAUGAAGACGAGGCUGAGGACAAUGCCUGCCUGAGGCUGGAGGACAGCUGGCGGGAGCUCAUUGAUGGGCAUGAGAAGCUGACCCGGAGGCAGUGCCACCAGCAGGAGGCGGUGUGGGAGCUGCUGCACACGGAGGCCUCCUACAUCAGGAAACUGCGGGUGAUCAUCAACCUGUUCCUGUGCUGCCUCCUGAACCUGCAAGAGUCAGGGCUGCUGUGUGAGGUGGAGGCGGAGCGCCUGUUCAGCAACAUCCCGGAGAUCGCGCAGCUGCACCGCAGGCUGUGGGCUAGCGUGAUGGCGCCGGUGCUGGAGAAGGCGCGGCGCACGCGAGCGCUGCUGCAGCCCGGGGACUUCCUCAAAGGCUUCAAGAUGUUCGGCUCGCUCUUCAAGCCCUACAUCCGCUACUGCAUGGAGGAGGAGGGCUGCAUGGAGUACAUGCGCGGCCUGCUGCGCGACAACGACCUCUUCCGGGCCUACAUCACGUGGGCGGAGAAGCACCCACAGUGCCAGAGGCUGAAGCUGAGCGACAUGCUGGCCAAACCCCACCAGCGGCUCACCAAGUACCCGCUGCUGCUCAAGUCGGUGCUGAGGAAGACCGAGGAGCCGCGCGCCAAGGAGGCCGUCGUCGCCAUGAUCGGCUCCGUGGAGCGCUUCAUCCACCACGUGAACGCGUGCAUGCGGCAGCGGCAGGAGCGGCAGCGGCUGGCGGCCGUGGUGAGCCGCAUCGACGCCUACGAGGUGGUGGAAAGCAGCAGCGACGAAGUGGACAAGCUCCUGAAGGAAUUUCUGCACCUGGACUUGACAGCCCCCAUCCCUGGCGCCUCCCCGGAGGAGACGCGGCAGCUGCUGCUGGAGGGGAGCCUGAGGAUGAAGGAGGGGAAGGACAGCAAGAUGGAUGUGUACUGCUUCCUCUUCACGGAUCUGCUGUUGGUGACCAAAGCAGUGAAGAAGGCAGAGAGGACCAGGGUCAUCAGGCCACCCCUGCUCGUGGACAAGAUUGUGUGCCGGGAGCUACGGGACCCUGGGUCCUUCCUCCUUAUCUACCUGAAUGAGUUUCACAGUGCUGUAGGGGCCUACACGUUCCAGGCCAGCGGCCAGGCCUUGUGCCGUGGCUGGGUGGACACCAUUUACAAUGCCCAGAACCAGCUGCAACAGCUGCGUGCACAGGAGCCCCCAGGCAGUCAGCAGCCCCUGCAGAGCCUGGAAGAGGAGGAGGAUGAGCAGGAGGAGGAAGAGGAGGAGGAGGAGGAGGAGGAAGGCGAGGACAGUGGCACUUCAGCUGCCAGCUCCCCUACCAUCAUGCGGAAAAGCAGCAGCAGCCCCGACUCUCAGCACUGUGCCUCAGAUGGCUCCACAGAGACGCUGGCCAUGGUUGUGGUAGAGCCUGGGGACACGCUGUCCUCCCCCGAGUUCGACAGCGGUCCUUUCAGCUCCCAGUCUGAUGAGACCUCUCUCAGCACCACUGCCUCAUCUGCCACGCCCACCAGUGAGCUGCUGCCCCUGGGUCCGGUGGACGGCCGCUCCUGCUCCAUGGACUCUGCCUACGGCACCCUCUCCCCAACCUCCUUACAAGACUUUGUGGCCCCAGGCCCAAUGGCAGAGCUAGUGCCUCAGGCCCCAGAGUCCCCACGAGUUCCUUCCCCUCCACCCUCGCCCCGUCUCUGCCGCCGCACCCCUGUCCAGCUGUUGACCUGCCCGCCCCACCUGCUCAAGUCUAAGUCCGAGGCCAGCCUCCUCCAGCUGCUGGCAGGGGCUGGCACCCAUGGGACACCCUCUGCCCCCAGCCGCAGCCUGUCAGAGCUCUGCCUGGCUGUUCCAGCCCCAGGUAUUAGGACUCAGGGCUCCCCUCAGGAAGCUGGACCCAGCUGGGAUUGCCGAGGGGCCCCUAGCCCUGGCAGUGGUCCUGGGCUAGUCAGCUGCCUGGCCGGGGAACCUGCAGGCUCCCACAGGAAGAGGUGUGGAGACCUGCCCUCGGGGGCCUCUCCCAGGGUCCAGCCUGAGCCCCCACCAGGGGUCUCUGCCCAGCACAGGAAGCUGACCCUGGCCCAGCUCUACCGAAUCAGGACCACCCUGCUGCUUAACUCCACGCUCACUGCCUCGGAGGUUUGAGCAGAGGGAGGCCCCCAAGAGUGCCAUUGACCAAGAGACAGCAGACAGCCUGCCUCCUGGGGCGUGCCGGCACCUGCUUCAGCUACUGCCUCCUGUAUGCAUGAGCCGGAUGCUGGGCAGGAUCCCUGCCUACGCCCGGGCCCAAUUUGCGCUUUGCCGGACUGGAUGGAGUGGAGGAGGCCCAGGCCACAGUACCACCCCACCUGCCCAGGCAGCCCCUCGUCACCUACUCCCCGAAGUUACCAGCUCAGCUCGAGUCUUCAGGGCUGGGCUCCUAGGCUGCCCAUCCCACUUCUACCCUCACUGGCCUCCAGUGGGAUUCACUCCUGCCCUGCCCCCACCUUCCCAGUCCCACAGGCCACCCCUGGUUUGGGCUGGGUUCUGUAAAGUUACGUAUUUAUUGAGCUUUUGGUUCUUUUAUAAAGACUUGUCUAGACUCCACUGGGAAGAGUCCUUUGCUUUGGGGCCCAGUGACUCGGGGCACUUGAGUUCAGGGCGGCCUCCUUGUGUUCCUGUGCUCCUCCACUUGCCACGGAUGGGCCACGGAUGGAGCUUGCCAUGGGAAGCACUGGGAAGUAAUGGGGUGUGGGGUGCCACCAGACCAACACCCCCAGACUUCCCCACCUUCAGCCACCAUCAGAGCCUCUCCCCAGCUGCCCCCCGGGGAUUCAGGGCUGAAUCUGCCCAGUUCCCACACUCAGGCCAGCCCUCUUGGGAAGGUGGGUCCUCCAUGGGGGUCCCUUCAGGAACUUUUUUUUUUUUAAAUACAGAGUCUCACUCUGUCACCUAGGUUGGAGUGCAGUGGUGUGAUGUCGGCUCACUGCAACCUCUGCCUCCCGGGUUCAAACGAUUCUCCUGCCCCAGCCACUCUAGUAGCUGGAACUGCAGGUGUGCACCACCACGCCGGGCUAGUUUUUGUAUUUUAAGUAGAGACGGCAUUUCACCAUAUUGGUCAGGCUGGUCUCGAACUCCUGACCCCAAGUGUUCCGCCCGCCUCUGCCUCCCAUAGUGCUACAAUUACAGGCCUGAGCUACUGCGCUUGGCCCCUUGCGGUACUUUUGGCCCAACCUCCUCCAUGGCUGGGGACGCGGAGGCCGAGAGAGAAGUCACUUGCCCUGGCUCUACCUUGAAGUGGUUCUCAGGGUUGGGGCGAGACUCGGGGUGGGGACCGAGAUGCAGCUCUAUCCUGUGCCCCUGGUCGCAGCAGGCAGCCCAGCGCUUCGCGUGUUCUACUUGGCCUGUCCGCUGCCGCCUGAUGAGCUCAGGUCUAGGCCGAGCAGAGGGGGCACCCGGUCGGACUCGGUUGGGCUCGGGCGGCCCCGCCUCCCCCCGCCCGCCAGGCGGGCCCUUCUCGACGGCGCGGGGCGGGCCCUGCGGGCGCGGGGCUGAAGGCGGAACCACGACGGGCAGAGAGCACGGAGCCGGGAAGCCCCUGGGCGCCCGUCGGAGGGCCCAGCGCGGCGCGGAGGGCUAUGGAGCAGCGGCCGC
rnacentral:sRNA from 1 species